rnacentral:rRNA from 1 species
GCACAGCGAAAGGUGCUUGCACCUUUCAAGUGAGUGGCGAACGGGUGAGUAACACGUGGACAACCUGCCUCAAGGCUGGGGAUAACAUUUGGAAACAGAUGCUAAUACCGAAUAAAACUUAGUGUCGCAUGACAAAAAGUUAAAAGGCGCUUCGGCGUCACCUAGAGAUGGAUCCGCGGUGCAUUAGUUAGUUGGUGGGGUAAAGGCCUACCAAGACAAUGAUGCAUAGCCGAGUUGAGAGACUGAUCGGCCACAUUGGGACUGAGACACGGCCCAAACUCCUACGGGAGGCUGCAGUAGGGAAUCUUCCACAAUGGGCGAAAGCCUGAUGGAGCAACGCCGCGUGUGUGAUGAAGGCUUUCGGGUCGUAAAGCACUGUUGUAUGGGAAGAACAGCUAGAAUAGGAAAUGAUUUUAGUUUGACGGUACCAUACCAGAAAGGGACGGCUAAAUACGUGCCAGCAGCCGCGGUAAUACGUAUGUCCCGAGCGUUAUCCGGAUUUAUUGGGCGUAAAGCGAGCGCAGACGGUUUAUUAAGUCUGAUGUGAAAGCCCGGAGCUCAACUCCGGAAUGGCAUUGGAAACUGGUUAACUUGAGUGCAGUAGAGGUAAGUGGAACUCCAUGUGUAGCGGUGGAAUGCGUAGAUAUAUGGAAGAACACCAGUGGCGAAGGCGGCUUACUGGACUGCAACUGACGUUGAGGCUCGAAAGUGUGGGUAGCAAACAGGAUUAGAUACCCUGGUAGUCCACACCGUAAACGAUG